rnacentral:rRNA from 1 species
UACGUAGGGUGCAAGCGUUAAUCGGAAUUACUGGGCGUAAAGCGUGCGCAGGCGGCUUUGCAAGACAGAUGUGAAAUCCCCGGGCUUAACCUGGGAACUGCACUUGUGACUGCACAGCUGGAGUACGGCAGAGGGGGAUGGAAUUCCGCGUGUAGCAGUGAAAUGCGUAGAUAUGCGGAGGAACACCGAUGGCGAAGGCAGUCCCCUGGGCCUGUACUGACGCUCAUGCACGAAAGCGUGGGGAGCAAACAGG